UGCCCAGCAACUCCUAUCCCUACCUCCUCGCGGUACCGGCCGGAAACUAUGAGCAACCUUACCCCGGUGGGAGCUUUGGCCUUAGGCUGACAGGGAAGG
rnacentral:ribozyme from 1 species